UGCAUGUGCAUACGGUAUUUCGUUUGGCACCAACUAAGGAAAGUGACGAGCUUGCAGAUGGAUAAAUUAUCUGACUCUACUCGAUUGAAGAGGAUUCGGCCUGAUUUCCCGCUACAAGAUGGUUUAUGCUUGGAUUGGCUUCCCACUAAUUGGAUGUCGGGAGAUCGGUUAUGCGCCUGACUGUGCAGGGUGUCAUAGGACCGGUCAUCGACGACAUCGAUUUCAUUACCGACGAUAGGACGGAUAUCAAAUUUGGACCAAAAAUCGAUGCCCAGGAUGCACGCACGAUUCAGAUCCGGUGCGAUGAUGACUGGUGAAAGCGUAGGGCACGUUCACUCAACUGUCGCUUACCUAACGGAUCGAUCCUACGGAUGGUUAGCUCGUAAUCCAGCUCGUCGACUGUGAGAUGAGCACAGUUCAUCCCAUAGUACAGGACAUACAAGUGGG